rnacentral:rRNA from 1 species
AGAGUUUGAUCAUGGCUCAGAUUGAACGCUGGCGGCAGGCUUAACACAUGCAAGUCGAGCGGAGCGAGGGUGCUUGCACCUUAGCUUAGCGGCGGACGGGUGAGUAAUGCUUAGGAAUCUGCCUAUUAGUGGGGGACAACAUUCCGAAAGGGAUGCUAAUACCGCAUACGCCCUACGGGGGAAAGCAGGGGAUCUUCGGACCUUGCGCUAAUAGAUGAGCCUAAGUCGGAUUAGCUAGUUGGUGGGGUAAAGGCCUACCAAGGCGACGAUCUGUAGCGGGUCUGAGAGGAUGAUCCGCCACACUGGGACUGAGACACGGCCCAGACUCCUACGGGAGGCAGCAGUGGGGAAUAUUGGACAAUGGGGGGAACCCUGAUCCAGCCAUGCCGCGUGUGUGAAGAAGGCCUUUUGGUUGUAAAGCACUUUAAGCGAGGAGGAGGCGCUCUAGGAUAAUACCCUAGAUGCGUGGACGUUACUCGCAGAAUAAGCACCGGCUAACUCUGUGCCAGCAGCCGCGGUAAUACAGAGGGUGCGAGCGUUAAUCGGAUUUACUGGGCGUAAAGCGCGCGUAGGUGGCUAAUUAAGUCAAAUGUGAAAUCCCCGAGCUUAACUUGGGAAUUGCAUUCGAUACUGGUUAGCUAGAGUAUGGGAGAGGAUGGUAGAAUUCCAGGUGUAGCGGUGAAAUGCGUAGAGAUCUGGAGGAAUACCGAUGGCGAAGGCAGCCAUCUGGCCUAAUACUGACACUGAGGUGCGAAAGCAUGGGGAGCAAACAG